UCAUAACUUAGGUACGAUGUUUUUGUACCUUGGCACCAUCUGUGUGUUUUGUUCAUUGCCUUGCUAAAGGUGGCACCAGAUGUUCUUUGAUGGGAAAAUUCCUUUUGUAGCACUGAGCUGUUUUCAGUCACCUUAUUUUGUAUACAAUGAAACAGAACGCUGUGUUCAUGGCACAGUGAUUUGGUGAAUGUUCACAUGCUUGUUUCCGACUCCGUUUUAAAACAAAACAAGGUUUGAACUGAUUAGCUUGUUGUAAAUGUCGUUUAUUUUGAAAAUUGAAACAAACGGGGCUGGUACCAAAAUUUUGAACUUGGGACAUUGUAGGAUACAGUUGGGGUGGGCUGGUCUAUAGUAUAUAUACGUGUCUGCCUAUCUAUGUCCUUGCACAUGAAGCGUUGAGAAACUUUUGGUAAAACUGAGAGGAGGUGGUGUCUUGGAAAACAUAUACGGAGUAUAUUAUUUUUUGUAGAUUUGAGGGUCUUAGAGUGUGUUUGGUUGGAGAGUUAACUUGAAUAGAGUAGCUUUAUUCUAGUUUUUGAGAAUAGAGCAGCUUCAUUCUAGUUUUUGAUAAUAGAGACAUUCUAUUCUGUAUUUGGCUAACAGAACAUAGUCGCUCUAUUUUUUGUUUAGUUAAAGAGUAGAAUAUAGUGGAGUCACUCUGUUCUUUGUUUUGUUGGAGAGUCAUAUGAGUAUAGAGGGGAGGAGAGCGAGGAGAGUGCUUGCAUCCGGUCAUUUUUUGUGGAGCGGGAGCAUUUCAAAUAUUUAUGAUAAAUUUCUAAAUAGAGACUUCAGGAGCCGCUCCGCUCUUAUUUUGUUCAAAACCAAACACCAAAUAAUAUAAAUAGAGCCACUGCAUUCUUCUCCACUCUUCAACCAACGCAUCUUAAGUGUCUCCUUAUAUAUAUUUAAAGGAAAAUAUCGGACAAGUGUUCAGUUUAUGUUGAUGACUAUUUCAAAUAAAAACAAAAGCUUUCGUAGCUCAGUUGGUUAGAGCACCCGUUUAGUAAGCGGGAGGUCUUGAGUUCAACUCUCAACGAAAGCUUUUUUUUUUCAUGUUGUUUUUACUGUUCAGCUGACCUUUGAUUUUUUUUCUUUUUUUUGAUAGUUUUUUUUUUCUCUUUUUUUGGUAGUUCACCUGAAGUUUGGGAAGUUUUUCUAAAGUUUUCAGCUCUAUCGGCUCUCGUUUUUAGAGACCAGCGAUGUCUCGUGGUCCGAACGGCUGCAACAAUGACAACAAUAAAUCAAUACUGUUCAGCAACCGCAGCCUGCGGCAACAGCCAAGGAAAGAAAAGCAACUUAUCAAAUAGCAACAAAGACCGAACCUUUUGCAAAAUCUUUUAGUAUGUGUUUGGUUUUGGAACGAAGUGGGUUGAGUCAGAGCCAACCAUUUUUCUGGGUUGGAUCGGACCCGUUCCUUAUUUGCUUUCAGUAACAAGUUGAACAUAGUUUGUUGUUUGAUUACAGGGUUAAAAUGGGUUGGAGUAUGCACCAUCUCUUGUUUGUUUCGUGAUGAGCGAUAAAUGAGAGAUGAACUCAAUAUGAUCACCUUCUUGAUCAUAUUACUAUAAUGAGAAUGAUAAAGAUGGCAAAAUUCAAAAUAAAUAAAACCGACACUAUUUUAAUAUUUGAGAAAUCCAUAAGCACAAGAUAUACAUAAAUUAAAGCCAUUAUUGACCAAGUCAUAAAUUUUUAGCGAUGAGGUCUCACUAUUACAUUCCAGUCAUCAUUAAAGAAACAUCCCAACAACAUCAAGAUGCAUUUUAUUUGUAACAUUUGCCAUGACUAGCAGACUUAUCUAGACGAUGAUGAUCACUGACCUUUAAUUGUUCGACGACAGGCUCGUGGGUUGUGCUUACCCUAGCAUCAGAGGGUAGGCUAGCGGGGGACUGCUGGUGGGAGGUGCAGCAAGCCAGUGGGAGAGUCUGACGGCACUGACGGAGGCCAACACGCUGGAGGGCAGGCCAGUGGGGGACUCACGAUGUGAGGUAGGCGUGGUAUUAACGUCGGAGGGGGGCCCUCGUCCUAGCAGGCUAGUAGUGGCGACACGCCCUUAUGCUCGUGUCGAGUGGAUAAGACAUGAAUGACGGGAUGGUGGAGAGUAAGUGGGUCGAAAUGUUUCGUUUGUUUUUGAGGAAUCACCAAAACUCACAAUUUCAAGAAGUAUUUCGAUCCUGAACCAACCUAAUACACGAGCCUUUUAAAUCAAGCGCGUGUUGUUAUGGAUUGAACCUGUUCCAACCCGCAUUGACCCGCUAACCAAAUACACGGUUACUGCUUGGUUCUGACUUCUCAUUGAUUGACGGGAUUGCAAUUUAGCCAUCGAUUAGUUCUAAACCCAUAUUUGGUUAGCCUAGAAACUUUGGCGUGCCACGUGCGUCAGCUACAGCCAGAAGUCAACUGCCGAUUUAGCCACUCAAAUUGGUCGCCCCAUUUUGGUUGGUUGAAUGUCUGUUUUUGCUUGGACUAAAUGAUUAAAGUACUGUUUAGUUCGUAGCUAAUUGUACCACAAUCCGAAUUGAAUAACUAACUUUAAGCAAAAAAGUUACACAAAGUAUGACAAAUUAGUCAGGGAACCAAACAUGCUCUAAAUCUCCCAUGUAACUCACCUAGUAACUUAUCUGUUCUAAUUUAUAAUUCGUUUAACUUUUUUACAUUAAGGUUUAGCCAGCUCGUUUCAUUAAUAAAGUUCAUAACUUUUUUACAUUAUUUAUUUGGUUUGAAUGUUUCAUUUUUUCUGCAAUUUUUUUGAAUAAGACUUACCAGUCUUAGAGUAAAAAAGUCAAAUUAUAAUUUGGAACGGAUGCAUUAGAAACUAAAGUUACUACUGCUUACAAUGACCGUAAACCAUAUUUGAGACCGCCGCCUCCGGGGAAGGAAAUGUGCUAGUCGGGCAAGGCGUCGAGCCUUCGACGACCCGAAUUUGGUUUUUGAUGCAUCGAUUUUACUAGAUGUCUAGAUAUAUAGUGAAAUAUAUGUAAAAAAGUUAAAAUUACUUGUAAUUCAAAACGGAGGAGUACAACAUAUAUAUUCAAUAGCAGGAAUAAUAAUGAUAUUUGUAAGUAUAUAUUAUACUAUAAUAAAGUAAUGUUAUUUUAAAAUGUUUUAUUGCGCUUAAAUAAUUUUCUACUAAUGGAAGCCAUUUUCGCACGAAUAUAUGACAAUUUCACAAACCAAGAAGGCAUAACGACAUUUUUUAUAAAAUAAAAACAAUUUAAUCCUUAUGAAAUUUCUGAAGAAAAUAUUGAAUAUUUUGUGUUAAACAUAGAACAGUAAUGCUCGUGUGUAAGUGUACCUAUCCAUUUAGUGGGUUAUAAUUAAAUAACAAUGUAAUUAAAAAACUAACAAGUGUGCUAAGUGUUGGACUUAUAAGUUGGUGUAUUAAUGGUUAAAUUAUAAAGGCAAACAUGAUGGUGUUUUUUAUUAUGUUGAAGUAAAAAGCAUAUCUAGUUCAGACAGAAGACAAUAACACAAACAAUCCUAGGAAAAGACAUCUAAAACUUUAUAGCUGGUAAUCUUUUGAUUUCAAUGAUUUGUGAGUCUAACUAUGCAAUAUAAGUUAUCAGAUUCAGUAUGAUUAACAUUGUCAGCUGAAGAUGAAGUCAAUAUCAAACAUACAAUAAUUUACAAGAUACACAACUUUAAAGCUAAUAACUUUUUUUAAGAUCACCUUAAGUGUCAAAUAUAUAAUAUAAGUUUUUCUAUUUUUGAAAACAACGUCAGUUGCAUAGUCACAUCUGUCAUGUAACUCAAGUUGUACGUGGAUUUGAGUGAAUGUUAAUAGUGAAGUCUUGCGUUCCAAUCCUAAGAAAACUGAAAGUUGCAUAAAUUAUAAGAUGGAUUUUAUAUUUAUCAAGUUAAAUAGGCAUUACGAGUAAAACAAUAUAAUUAAUAGAUAGUUUAUUUAUUAAAAUUAAAUUUUGCAUAAUAUGGUUAUUUUUUAAUUAUAUGGUCUUCUGACUUUUAGAUGUAUAAUUUUUUCUAUACAUUAUACAAUAUAUCUAAAUAUAAGUUAAAAGUUAUGCAAAGCCGCAGUAACCUACAAUUUAGGUCAAGGGAGUAUAUAAGAAAUCAUAUUUAACUCCCUUCAUUAACUAUAAUGCAACAUUAGUAUUUUACUUAGUCCAUACACUAAUUAAUUAUCAUACAAACCUAGUGAGUCGAGAGUGUUUUAGGCUAGUUUCAAUAAUAGAUAGUUUUAUUAAUAAUUAGAGUUUUACGAUCAUUAAGUAAAUUGCUGUGAUAUAUAUUAUUAAAUAAAUAUCACAAAAGUUAUAUCAUAAAAUAAGUUUUAGAGAUAAAUUUUGUUUUUAAAACAUAAAUUCCACUCAUACUAGCCUUAAGUAAAAUCUAUGUGGGAUCGAAAUUCUCGCUCGAUGUAUGUAGUCCCUUCUCUUAAAGAUAUUUUAAACGGACUCUUUCAACCUACUCACUCUGCCCCAAUUUAUAAUUCGUUUCACAUUUUUACUCAAGGUUUGACCGACGUGUCUUAUUAAAAAAAAUUAUAACUAUUGUUAAUUUUUGUUGUGGUAUUUUUAGCAUUAAUAUAUUUAAAUAUGGCUUUCAAUUUUAUUUAUAUGACUAGCUUGCAGAUAGGAAGGGGUGGAAGUGUGCAAUUCACGUGCCAGAACCCUGAUUGAUAGUUUCGCUUUUCCUCCUUAAUCGUUUGACCUUUUCUUGUGUCCAUUUUAGAUCUUGCUGGUCCUUGUGGGUUUUAUCUCGUUUAUGUGUUUCCCCGUUUCGUUGUUUUCGGUUCUCCUUUGCCUUUGUUUCCCUUUUCUGUUCUUUGGGGGUUGAGCUCUGAGGUUUUCAUACGGGGUUUCAUCUCUAGCCUACCCCAACGUGCUUGGGACAAAAAGGCUUUGUUGUUGUUGUUGUUGUUGUUGACUAGCUUGUUGAUAAACUGGGUUCUUCCAUUUUCCAUAUUUUGCUCAACUAGCUGAUGAAUAAGCAAACGAUGUAUCAUAACUUAGGUACGAUGUUUUUGUACCUUGGCACCAUCUGUGUGUUUUGUUCAUUGCCUUGCUAAAGGUGGCACCAGAUGUUCUUUGAUGGGAAAAUCCCUUCUGUAGCACUGAGCUGUUUUCAGUCACACCUUAUUUUGUAUACAAUGAAACAGAACGCUGUGCUCAUGGCACAGUGAUUUGGUGAAUGUUCACAUGCUUGUUUCCGACUCCGUUUUAAAACAAACAACGUUUAAACUGAUUA
rnacentral:lncRNA from 1 species